rnacentral:rRNA from 1 species
UGAGGAAUAUUGGUCAAUGGGCGUAAGCCUGAACCAGCCAUCCCGCGUGAAGGAAGAAGGCGCUAUGCGUCGUAAACUUCUUUUCCAGAGGAAGAAAACCCCCGACGAGUCGGGGCUUGCCGGUACUCUGGGAAUAAGCAUCGGCUAACUCCGUGCCAGCAGCCGCGGUAAUACGGAGGAUGCGAGCGUUAUCCGGAUUUAUUGGGUUUAAAGGGUGCGUAGGCGGAUUAAUAAGUCAGUGGUGAAAACCUUCAGCUUAACUGGAGAAUUGCCAUUGAUACUGUUAGUCUUGAGUACGGUCAAGGUAGGCGGAAUGUGUAAUGUAGCGGUGAAAUGCUUAGAUAUUACACAGAACACCGAUUGCGAAGGCAGCUUACUGGGCCAUUACUGACGCUGAGGCACGAAAGCGUGGGGAGCGAACAGG